rnacentral:lncRNA from 1 species
GAGGAGCCCAGGUCUGAGGCGGGAACCCUGGAGCCUCUGUUGACUCUCAGGCACUGCGAGCGCCGAGGAAGGGGCGGCAGCAUGUGUGUAGGUGCUCCUUGCCAGGGUUCUGCUUGACCAAGCUACCAGAUUCUUCCCCCGGAACAGCUGCGGAGGAGGGCACGCGCCAGGAGGGGCUGGGCGGCUCGGGAGUGCCAGGAGAGUCGGCGGCUCUGGGCCCUUGUCCCCUUCUGCUCUCCCGCCGUCACAGGCCACCGCCCCGGCCCCGCGGAGCCUGCGUUCUCCCCUCUGCCCCCAGCUCCGGGCCCCCUUCCCUGCUUGCCUUUAAAGCGAGACCUGGGCAGUAAUUGGGUCAUUCUGUAACGGGAUUUUGCCUAGCUCUCAACUCUGCUGCGGAAAUGAACUUCCAGAGCAGCCGGGUGAGUUAGGCCAGGAAUUUUUUCAGGCAGGGAGGGAGGAGAAAUGGGAGAAAAAUAACAGAGCAGGGGGCCCUGGGAGAGAGGAAGGGGCUGAAAAGGGAUGAAGCGGGCUGAUUCACAGGCUGCGAUUCCCCGUUAUAGAUGAUCGUGCCCAGGUUUUACUUGCGUGGUGACCACGGCCGGGGGAAGACAGCGAGGGCAGGGCGCAGAGGGCCGCAGCAGGCACGCGGGCCGCCCCCGGACAGGCCAUUAACGACCCCACCCCUUUGCUAAUGGCAGGGGAGGAGUCCCAGCUGUUUGCUGUUUGGAUUG